UUGUUCUUCUCUUCCUUCCAACUGAGAAAGUGAAUCUUUCUUUUGUCUGCCUUGUGCUUCCACCAAAAAUUUCGGACAGCUUUGUCAAUAGAAUUACAAACAUUUAUAGGGCCGUGCGGAUUUGAUUACCUUUAAUCUUCCACCCGGUUAGAGGAAUCUCGCUCUUCAAUUCUGAAUCUGCCUUGGAUUUUGUCAAAAACGGAUGGGAAAAACUUCUUCUACGACAAGAAAUAAAGACUUAGCUCCAUUCAUCGAUUCAUUUUUUAUUUCACAUUUAGGCCCAUUUAGAGGCAACAUUCCUUUCACAUUUUAACCAAGCAACUUUAUUUAUGCUUAUUUUAAUACAUAUCAUAUUCAUGAAACGAUAUUGCAUUAAUAAUAAACACUUAGUCCUUAGUAAACUCUAGCGGAAUGAGACUCAUAUAUUUACGAUUCUAAAUGAUCACAUCACACAUAUUGCACCAAUUAUGCAUCCAACUAAACACACCAAACGUUUAAUGACCCAAGAUGCACUAAAGUGCUAUGGUGUAAGGCAUCACAUCGGUGUUCCAAAGCGCACACACUAAUCCUUAUGGCAUGCCAAUUGUAUCUUAAUUGCUCUACUAAGCUUACCAGAUCAACUUAUUUAAUCAAUUAAAAUCGAUAUCACAUGAUGAUUCUCAUGCACAUAUACACAUCACAUACACAUAUUCACAGAUUUUUAUUUUUAAACUCUUAUCGUUCUUCAAUUAUCAAAUUCAGAGCUCAUAAAACCAUUCAUUAACAAUAUAUACACUUUUCACUUAUUCACUUAUCACUUAGGUGAGUUAUAUCACUGAUUCACAUUCAUAUAUAUAUAUAAAUAUUUCAAUAUCCAUUUCUCAACAAGGUAUUUUAGCCAUUACUUCACAAUUUCUCUAGCAACAUUUUACAUAUAUUAUCACUAUAUCUCAUUCUCAAAUCUCAAUGUUCAAUACAACAUUUAAAUUUGCUAUCUUAUGUAACACAUUUCUCAUUUUUCAGUUUCCACAAUUUAUCAAAUCUUCUUCGUUGUAUUGCAUGGCUAAUUUUUUGCUAAUUUAUGACAAUUAAUCACAUUUUAUUAUUUUUUAAGAACACCUUUUUUACUCAAUAUACUACUGACAUUAAAAUUUUCAUAACACUUUAAUAAUUCUUUUUUUUAUGUAAUUAAAGUCAAAGCUUAUUACUACUGGAAUUUUCUUGCUAUUAAUGACAAAUUUCAAGCCAUGGUUUUUCACAUAAUAAUACACAUAAUCACUUCAACCCUUCAUUUUACUAAUUAUUCAAACUCGUAAUUAUGUUAUUUAAGAGAAAGAAAAUUCAAGUAUACUUACCUAGGUAAUCAUUAACAAAACAAGGCUUCUCUCUAACCCUUCAUUUUCACUUUCUCCAUGCUUGGAACCCUUCUCUCCUCUUCUUUCUCUUUUUCUCCACCCAACACAAGAAUAUACACAAGUUAUCAAAGCAUGCUCAUCACGUUUUAAACACAACCUUAAAUAAAGAAGGUGAAAAUUCUGAAAAACAUGUUUCUUACCUUUACCGAAACUUUCUCUCUCUAGUCGAAGUUUUCUCUUUCUAAACCAUGAAACCCUAGACUUUAAUGAAGAAGAUGAUGGCAGGAAUGGGUUGAUUUAAAGAGGAGAUGAGAAG
rnacentral:lncRNA from 1 species